UACGAAGGGGGCUAGCGUUGCUCGGAAUCACUGGGCGUAAAGCGCACGUAGGCGGCCUACUAAGUCAGGGGUGAAAUCCUGGAGCUCAACUCCAGAACUGCCUUUGAUACUGGUUGGCUUGAGUCCGGGAGAGGUGAGUGGAACUGCGAGUGUAGAGGUGAAAUUCGUAGAUAUUCGCAAGAACACCGGUGGCGAAGGCGGCUCUCUGGACCACAACUGACGCUGAGGCGCGAAAGCUAGGGGAGCAAACAGG
rnacentral:rRNA from 1 species